GGUUCCGGGUUCGGCGCGGGGCGGGGGUGUGAAUCCCGAUGGAGCGGCCCGAGGAAGGCAAGCAGUCGCCGCCGCCGCAGCCCUGGGGACGGCUCCUGCGUCUGGGCGCGGAGGAGGGCGAGCCGCACGUCCUCCUGAGGAAGCGGGAGUGGACCAUCGGGCGGAGACGAGGUUGCGACCUUUCCUUCCCCAGCAAUAAACUGGUCUCUGGAGAUCACUGUAGAAUUGUAGUGGAUGAAAAAUCAGGUCAGGUGACACUGGAAGAUACCAGCACCAGUGGAACAGUGAUUAACAAGCUGAAGGUUGUUAAGAAGCAGACAUGCCCUUUACAGACUGGGGAUGUCAUCUACUUGGUGUACAGGAAGAAUGAACCGGAACACAGAACGUUCCUCCUGGCUACACCCCAUUUCUUGCUCACAUGGGUUCCUGCCGUGAAUAGUGUCUGUUGAGUGGGAGUGUUGACUUUGCAGCCUGAGCCCAGCCAUUCCUCAGGAAUACCACUGUGGCCAUGAGCAGCCAAUCCCAAAAUGGCAGCCAAGGAGAAACUGAUGGGGAUGGUUUGGGUUCUACAGGAGAAGAACUUGAGUUAUGGGGAAU
rnacentral:sRNA from 1 species